CGGGCAGACUAGAGUGCAGUAGGGGAGACUGGAAUUCCUGNUGUAGCGGUGAAAUGCGCAGAUAUCAGGAGGAACACCGAUGGCGAAGGCAGGUCUCUGGGCUGUAACUGACGCUGAGGAGCGAAAGCAUGGGGAGCGAACAGGAUUAGAUACCCUGGUAGUCCAUGCCGUAAACNNNNNNCACUAGGUGUGGGGGACAUUCCACGUUUUCCGCGCCGUAGCUAACGCAUUAAGUGCCCCGCCUGGGGAGUACGGCCGCAAGGCUAAAACUCAAAGGAAUUGACGGGGGCCCGCACAAGCGGCGGAGCAUGCGGAUUAAUUCGAUGCAACGCGAAGAACCUUACCAAGGCUUGACAUGUUCCUGACCGCCGUAGAGAUACGGUUUCCCCUUUGGGGCAGGUUCACAGGUGGUGCAUGGUUGUCGUCAGCUCGUGUCGUGAGAUGUUGGGUUAAGUCCCGCAACGAGCGCAACCCUCGUUCCAUGUUGCCAGCACGUAGUGGUGGGGACUCAUGGGAGACUGCCGGGGUCAACUCGGAGGAAGGUGGGGACGACGUCAAAUCAUCAUGCCCCUUAUGUCUUGGGCUUCACGCAUGCUACAAUGGCCGGUACAAUGGGUUGCGAUACUGUGAGGUGGAGCUAAUCCCAAAAAGCCGGUCUCAGUUCGGAUUGGGGUCUGCAACUCGACCCCAUGAAGUCGGAGUCGCUAGUAAUCGCAGAUCAGCAACGCUGCGGUGAAUACGUUCCCGGGCCUUGUACACACCGCCCGUCAAGUCACGAAAGUUGGUAACACCCGAAGCCG
rnacentral:rRNA from 1 species